AGUGUGUGAUGAUUGCCUUGGUCCGUGUUUCUGAAAAUCUCUGAUUUUAAACAAUGGCAUAGUCUGACACU
rfam:Crassostrea gigas strain 05x7-T-G4-1.051#20 contig6068, whole genome shotgun sequence.